rnacentral:rRNA from 1 species
UGGGGAAUAUUGGGCAAUGGGCGAAAGCCUGACCCAGCAACGCCGCGUGAAGGAAGAAGGUUUUCGGAUCGUAAACUUCUAUCCCAGAUGAAGAUAAUGACGGUAAUCUGGAAGGAAGCCCCGGCUAACUACGUGCCAGCAGCCGCGGUAAUACGUAGGGGGCAAGCGUUGUCCGGAAUGAUUGGGCGUAAAGGGCGCGUAGGCGGCCUUUUAAGUCCGAUGUGAAAGUCCUGCUUUUAAGGUGGGAAUUGCAUUGGAAACUGGAAGGCUUGAGUGCAGGAGAGGUAAGUGGAAUUCCCGGUGUAGCGGUGAAAUGCGUAGAGAUCGGGAGGAACACCAGUGGCGAAGGCGACUUACUGGACUGUAACUGGCGCUGAGGCGCGAAAGUGUGGGGAGCAAACG